AACUUAGGGGGCAAGCGUUGCCCGGAUUCACUGGGCGUAAAGCGGGUGUAGGCGGUUCUUUAAGUCAGAUGUGAAAUCCUGCGGCUCAACCGCGGAACUGCAUCUGAUACUGGGGAACUUGAGGACGGUAGAGGUCGGUGGAAUCCCCGGUGUACCGGUGAAAUGGGCAGAUAUCGGGGGGAACACCAGUGGCGAAGGCGGCCGACUGGGCCGAUCCUGACGCUGAGACCCGAAAGCCAGGGGAGCGAACGGG
rnacentral:rRNA from 1 species